rnacentral:miRNA from 15 species
AUUGAUGAAAGCAUCUCCAAUG